rnacentral:rRNA from 1 species
AAGGCUUCAGUACGACCCAGUCAGAACUAUAAGUCUCAAAGCCCCGACGAGUAGGGUGGCGUGCCGGUGAGCGUUGAAGGCCAAGACGUGAGUCAGGCUGGAGCCGCCGGUAGUGCAGAUCUUGGUGGUAGUAGCAAGUACUCUGGUGAACCAACCUGGAGCUGUGAGGUCUGGAUUAGGGUUCCAUGUCAACAGUGAUUGAACAUGGGUGAGUCGAUCCUAAGCCAACUGUGAAAGCAGUGACAUCCCGACAAAGGUGCAUUAGGGGGUGUGCCCGGCGCUCUUAAGCUCACUCGCCUCUCUCUCGAUACACGACGUGACGACCCGGGCGCGCGCGUACGCGGCAAAACAUACGCUGCGCGCGCGCUUGUGUGCGUGUCACGUUUUCAAUGGAUACGCUCAAAGGGGGCGUUGGUGAUGCUGCUGCUGCUCCUGAUUCUGAUGACCGUGAUUGCGAGGAUGACGGAAGCUCAAACGAAAGAGAGGAAUGGCACAGGCGAGGUGUGGCUUGCGGCAUAGCGUUUGAGAUGCGCACACUAUGCUCUCUGCGUUGGUUCUAUGUCCGGCGAAAGGGAAUGGGGACUUUGUUCCUUGACCGGUCCCGGCACCCUCGAUAGGCUUUGCCAUUCAAUGGUCCAUGCAAAUGGAACCAGGCCACAGCCGCCGGCAGUCGCCCGAGGAAGAGUUUUCUUUUCUGCUUAACGCACGAGGUCAUCCCUGGAAACAGUUCGGCUGGCGAAAGGGUGCCCCGUUGCGGCAGAGCGCCACGACUGUCGUGCGCGUCUCGGUGUUCCUGCCGGUCCGUGAAGACGUGGUCGAGGGGAUUGCACUUGUAUCAACGAAACGCCCGACAAGUUCGGGACGGACCGUACCCUAUAUCCGCAUCUGGUCUCCAAGGUUCGUAGCCUCUGCAGAGUCUGACACAUGUAGGUAAGGGAAGUCGGCAAACUCGAUCCGUAACUUCGGGAAAAGGAUUGGCUCUGAGGGCCGAGCUGGGCCGGGCCUUGCCUGCAAAGCAGUACCUAUAGUGACCGGAGUUUUAGGAGUGCGAGGGGCUUUAGUAGCUGCCCACGUCUAGGCGUGGGCACGAACCGGUCUACCGCUCCGCUCCAACCACGAACGGCUGUGACGGCAAGGGCUCUGGGCGGGAGCGUUCAAACCGUUUACCUCGCAGCUCGUCUGUUUGGUGGCGGUGCUCCGUCUGACCCAUACGGCUCCAGCGGCUAGCGGCUAACUCAGAACUGUCAUGGACCAAGGGAAUCCGACUGUCUAAUUAAAACAAAGCGUCGUGACGGCCCC